rnacentral:tRNA from 1 species
GCCUUUGUGGUGUAGUGGUAGCACAUUCGGCGUGUAUUCGAGAGUUCUAGGUUCGAGUCCCUGUUUGGGCG